rnacentral:lncRNA from 1 species
UGUUUCCUUUUUUGAUAAAAAACAAUCUUCAAAUAAAGACCACCAAAAUGCAAGAUCCAAACACCCACACUACAGAAGUCACAAAACCCCUGUAAACCCUAAUUUAAAAAUCCAAACUUUCUUGUUUUCUUCUCUAAUCCCUCAACUCUGGCUCACUCAACUUCAGCAAAAUGGCAUCUCUUUUCCAAAAACUAGCAAGAAACCAAUCCACCACAAGACUCAUCACAAGUUUCAAGAACCCAAUUUUAAGUCACCCCCCAGUCUUGAAUCAUCUUUCUCAACUCAACCCAACUCACCUCACCCCAAUUAGUCCACCGAGUCAACCCAAAACAGAGGACCCAUUUUCUCAUCAAUCCUUACAUUUCUACCCAAGUUUCUCAUUUGGGUGUUUUCUAAACCCCAUUUCUUUAUCUGGGUUGGUUCAAUCUGAGAUUCAAGUAGACGCUGUUUCGGAUGAUUCGGGUAUGAUGUGGGCUGAUAGUGUGAAGAAGAAGCGUAAGAGGAAGAUGNUUUUUUUUUUUUGAAGUAAUUGAAGACAUCAGCUUAAUCCUUAUAUUCAAUAAAUGAAGAUAACAUGAUGUGAUAAAUAAAAAGGAAUAAAAAAUAAACAAAGGCAGGAUGAACUGAAAAAGCCGAAGCUGAUGACGAAAAAAAGCGUGGUUUUAUAGCUUCUUUUCCUCCACUUUUUUUAUCAUUUAUAAGUGCUUCAUAUCAGUACCCAAACGCACCGCAAAAAACAAGAAGCGGGCUUCUAGGCUUAAAAGCCCAGAAGCCUUGCUCCCAAACACCCCCUAAGGGGCCGUUUGGCACCACUUAAAAAAAGUGACUUAUUGCUUAAAAUAAAAAAUAGAUUAUAAAUAAUAAGUGAACUUGACUUAUAAGUUAUUAAAAGUGUUUGGGUAACUUUUAUUUAUAAGUCAAUUGUAUUUUUGGUAAUUUAAAUUUAUAAAUUAAAAAAAUUUCAAAUUAUUAUAAUAAAAGAAACUUCUAUAAUAAAUAAAGUUUAUUACAUAUUAAAAUUUUAAAAUUUUCACAAAAAAAUGCAAAUUACUAAAAAAAGUCCAAAAAAAACUAGCAUUUCUAACUUCCAGCUUCUGACUUAAAAAUCCAAAAUAAGCACUCCUGCUUUUUUUUUGCCAAACACUACCUAAAAAGGAGAAGUGGCUUAAAGUGCUAAAAAAAGCCCGGAAGCACUUGUAAUCAGUGUUGCCAAACACCCGCUAAUAUUUCAUCGGAAAGACUUUUUUAAAAUUGAAUUUAAUCAAGUCUUAACCUUUUUCGGAUGAAUAUGUGAAUUUUCCAAGAUAUACACGGCGAAGUAUAUGCUUCAAUUGAUUUGUGACAUGUUGAUGUUGAUGAAUGAUUUUGGCAUUUUGCUAUCAAAAUAGGUAUUUAUAUAUUCAGAUGAAGUCUGCAUUUGUAAUGAAAAAGAACACACAUAUAUGGUUAGUGUAGACUAUAAAAUAUCCGUUUUCUGUUAAAUGGGCUGGCUAACCUGUGCCCUAAAGGCACAAGCAUGUGUAUUUAAUACACCUGCUCGUGGUUAACAGCUGUAGUAGAAUUAUUUUUUAUUUGUUCAAACUGCUUGUGCCCUCGGGGCACAGGUUAGCCAGCCCGUUUGUUAAAUCAGCGAUUCAGCAUAUGUAUUUGGACUUGACAUAUUGAAAACAAGAUUUAUGGAUGAUGCUGCACUUUGCUUCUGCAGUUCAGGAGGAAUAUGAAUCCAGCUUUCAAACCACUUUUAGAGGUAGUAAAACUUACAUAUGUGAACAUGAGUUGCCCUUAUAGCUCAGUGGUAGAGCGCCAGUCUUGUAAACUGGAGGUCCGUAGUUCGAUCCUGCGUGAGGGCAUUUUUUCUGUUUCCUUUUUUGAUAAAAAACAAUCUUCAAAUAAAGACCACCAAAAUGCAAGAUCCAAACACCCACACUACAGAAGUCACAAAACCCCUGUAAACCCUAAUUUAAAAAUCCAAACUUUCUUGUUUUCUUCUCUAAUCCCUCAACUCUGGCUCACUCAACUUCAGCAAAAUGGCAUCUCUUUUCCAAAAACUAGCAAGAAACCAAUCCACCACAAGACUCAUCACAAGUUUCAAGAACCCAAUUUUAAGUCACCCCCCAGUCUUGAAUCAUCUUUCUCAACUCAACCCAACUCACCUCACCCCAAUUAGUCCACCGAGUCAACCCAAAACAGAGGACCCAUUUUCUCAUCAAUCCUUACAUUUCUACCCAAGUUUCUCAUUUGGGUGUUUUCUAAACCCCAUUUCUUUAUCUGGGUUGGUUCAAUCUGAGAUUCAAGUAGA